CUAUUGGAGCGGCCGAUAUCGGAUUAGCUAGUUGGUGGGGUAAAGGCCUACCAAGGCGUCGAUCCGUAGCUGGUUUGAGAGGACGACCAGCCACACUGGGACUGAGACACGGCCCAGACUCCUACGGGAGGCAGCAGUGGGGAAUUUUGGACAAUGGGGGCAACCCUGAUCCAGCCAUCCCGCGUGUGCGAUGAAGGCCUUCGGGUUGUAAAGCACUUUUGGCAGGGAAGAAAAGGCUCUGGCUAAUACCUGGAGCUGCUGACGGUACCUGCAGAAUAAGCACCGGCUAACUACGUGCCAGCAGCCGCGGUAAUACGUAGGGUGCAAGCGUUAAUCGGAAUUACUGGGCGUAAAGCGUGCGCAGGCGGUUCGGCAAGAAGGAUGUGAAAUCCCAGGGCUUAACCUUGGAACUGCAUUCUUAACUGCCGGGCUAGAGUAUGU
rnacentral:rRNA from 1 species